rnacentral:lncRNA from 1 species
UUCCCGUACGGCCCUCCCACUCAGUCAAUAAGUACAUAUUAUUGACCAUGUCUUAAAAUCUUGUUCUAAUUGCAGCAAAAGAAUUGUUUCGGGUAAUAUCGAAAUUUUCGUUUAUCCAUAUAUUACCCAACCUGCUUCACACUAAUAACUCUUUUACUUUUUGACUNGAGCAAGUUUUGUGCAUUGCACUUAAAAUGAUACAUUGCAAGAGAGAGCAGGCGCACAUUGAAUAUUAUGAUAAUUACUUACAUCAUAUUCAAUAUUCAGUGAGCUUUUUUUCUAUAGGUAACCCGGAGAGUCCUGUUGGUUUGAUUACACUACCAAGUCUAAGUAUUCUUUUUUCUCUUUGUUUGAUUCUUGUUUUGGCUGUAUCUAAACUUCUGAGAGUUUUGAAUGAUCCUUUUCUAUGCCAACGCCUCAAAACUAGGAUCACUGCAGUUUUCGAAAUGAUUCUGGGUAUUAUCCGGAGAGUGUAUGGCUUUUUCAUACAAAUAUACAGACGACGUAGAGGCAGAACAGAGCAGAGCAGAACCGAACCAGCUAUAUAAAAUAUAUAACCAAUAUCUCAACUAUGGGAGAUGGUAAAGAUUUAAUGGCCCUCNCACGAGAUAAUAACGCCUAAAAGACCAAAGCCUAACAAGACAAGCUACGCGGCCUAAGAGGACCACUCAGUUUAGAACUAGGAACUAUGGUUGUCGCGUUCUCCAUAUUUGGGCCUAUGCCGUGGAAUGACCUGUCGCAAUUUAGAAGAAAUGCACCAUCCACUGACAGUUAUAAAGAGAAACUUAAGACAUGUUNAUUUAAUUCAUAGUUUAGGUCUUUUUGAAGCUGUUUAUUACUACAUGCUAUAGAUAUAUAUUUAUCAAUAUACAUAUGCAUGCUUGAGUCUAUAUUGUCAUGCAGUAGAGUGCUCGAUGCAUUAUGUUGCAGAGCGUAAUAGAUUGUAGAUAGAUCAAAUACAAGCUGUUACUCCGAGUAUCACGAUUACAUGAUAAGCAUGAAACUCAGAGUAACAGCAAAAUUGAUGUCUUGGAUUUGAUAUUUGAGCUUAUAGUUUGUCUAGAUAUUUAAAAUGUUUAAUCUUCGCGCGUUCAUAAAUUUUAUAUAUUCUAUUCUUCUGCUAUAUUCUUGCUGUAUUAUUGUUGAUUAUCAAAUCAAAUCAACAUUUACAUUAGUUACUGUCUCUUCUGCAGUUUUGCAUUAUCCAGCUAUAAUCAGUUGAAUGCAUUACCGCAGGAGAAAGCAGGAGAAAGNCUGGGCGAUAUUCGUACUCCAGGUUAUUUUGUACUGUAAAAAACGAUUUUUUAAAACUAGUUCGAAGAAAAACAUAUUCGUUUUGAAACCUGGCUUUGGAAAACAGUUUGAUAAUAUUUUUCUUAUGAGGCAUUUGAAAGCGCACUGAGGUGGACAUUUUUUCUCUUCUUUUUAUUUUUUCUCAUUUCUUGAUAAGCUUGACAACUGGAGAAUCAAAAAGAAAAUUCAGCCGCAAUGCACUGUAAUAACAGUUAUGCAUAUUUUGUUAUUUUUAAAUGAGUAAAAAAUAUACACAAAUAAAAAAGAAUCCUUUUUUCA